CCUACGGGAGGCAGCAGUGGGGAAUUUUGGACAAUGGGCGCAAGCCUGAUCCAGCAAUGCCGCGUGCAGGAAGAAGGCCUUCGGGUUGUAAACUGCUUUUGUCAGGGAAGAAAUCCUGUGGGUUAAUACCUCGUGGGGAUGACGGUACCUGAAGAAUAAGCACCGGCUAACUACGUGCCAGCAGCCGCGGUAAUACGUAGGGUGCGAGCGUUAAUCGGAAUUACUGGGCGUAAAGCGUGCGCAGGCGGUUGUGCAAGACAGGUGUGAAAUCCCCGGGCUUAACCUGGGAACUGCACUUGUGACUGCACGGCUAGAGUACGGUAGAGGGGGAUGGAAUUCCGCGUGUAGCAGUGAAAUGCGUAGAUAUGCGGAGGAACACCGAUGGCGAAGGCAAUCCCCUGGACCUGUACUGACGCUCAUGCACGAAAGCGUGGGGAGCAAACAGGAUUAGAUACCCUGGUAGUCCACGCCCUAAACGAUGUCAAGCUGGUUGUUGGACGUGCUUGCCGCUCAGU
rnacentral:rRNA from 1 species